GGACCCGUGGUGUAGCGGUUAACACGUCGGCCUGUCAAGCCGAAGAUCGCGGGUUCGAACCCCGUCGGGUCCGC
rnacentral:tRNA from 1 species